GCGCCCGUAGCUCAUUUGGAUAGAGCGAAUGCCUCCGGAGCAUUAGGUAGUGGGUUCGAAUCCCGCCGGGCGCG
rnacentral:tRNA from 1 species